GACGAACGCUGGCGGCGUGCUUAACACAUGCAAGUCGAACGGUGAAAUCGGAGCUUGCUCCGCUGGAUCAGUGGCGAACGGGUGAGUAACACGUGGGCAACCUGCCCUUCACUUCGGGAUAACUCCGGGAAACCGGGGCUAAUACCGGAUAUGACCCCUGCGGGCAUCCGCGGAGGUGGAAAGUUUUUCGGUGAAGGAUGGGCCCGCGGCCUAUCAGCUUGUUGGUGGGGGAGUGGCUCACCAAGGCGACGACGGGUAGCCGGCCUGAGAGGGCGACAGGCCACACGGGGACUGAGACACGGCCCAGACGCCUACGGGAGGAAGCAGUGGGGAAUAUUGCGCAAUGGGCGAAAGCCUGACGCAGCAACGCCGCGUGCGGGAUGACGGCCUUCGGGUUGUAAACCGCUUUCAGCAGGGAAGAAGCCGCAAGGUGACGGUACCUGCAGAAGAAGCACCGGCUAACUACGUGCCAGCAGCCGCGGUAA
rnacentral:rRNA from 1 species